GCAAUAUGUAUGUUUGCUGAAUAAAUGCUUGGAAUGAUAUGGAGAGGAUUAGCAUUGGCCUUGCACAAAGAUGACAAAUUCAUGGAGCAUUUCUUU
rnacentral:snRNA from 1 species